rnacentral:rRNA from 1 species
GUGAAUUUAACGGUAGCACGUCUGACGUGAGCAACGCCGCGUGAGUGAUGAAGGCUUUCGGGUCGUAAAACUCUGUUGUUAGGGAAGAACAAGUGCUAGUUGAAUAAGCUGGCACCUUGACGGUACCUAACCAGAAAGCCACGGCUAACUACGUGCCAGCAGCCGCGGUAAUACGUAGGUGGCAAGCGUUAUCCGGAAUUAUUGGGCGUAAAGCGCGCGCAGGUGGUUUCUUAAGUCUGAUGUGAAAGCCCACGGCUCAACCGUGGAGGGUCAUUGGAAACUGGGAGACUUGAGUGCAGAAGAGGAAAGUGGAAUUCCAUGUGUAGCGGUGAAAUGCGUAGAGAUAUGGAGGAACACCAGUGGCGAAGGCGACUUUCUGGUCUGUAACUGACACUGAGGCGCGAAAGCGUGGGGAGCAAACAGGAUUAGAUACCCUGGUAGUCCACGCCGUAAACGAUGAGUGCUAAGUGUUAGAGGGUUUCCGCCCUUUAGUGCUGAAGUUAACGCAUUAAGCACUCCGCCUGGGGAGUACGGCCGCAAGGCUGAAACUCAAAGGAAAUUGACGGGG